AAAAGCAAAGCAAUAGCAGAUCUCAUUUUUUUUUUUUUUUUAGUAUGUUUUUUUUGUG
rnacentral:ribozyme from 1 species